ensembl:miRNA
UAUGCAGGCCUGUGUACAGCACUCAGGCAGUGCCAUGGGCCUGUGCUUGUCCCUGCAG